GUUAUCUACUUGCUAGGAAUCUCUGUCUGCAAUGAAGUUCCUCAUCACAGUUCUGUUUUUGCUAACUUGUGAUGACGAAUUCUAAGCACUGGAACCUGUUGGCUUGUAAUCGUUCCGCCGUGACUCCUCCCUCCACACCAAAGUUAAUCAGCUUGCUUCCCUUUCUCCUGAUCCCUGUCUCUUGCUGGUCAUGCUUUCACUUUGCCCAUGUCACCCAUUUAGAGGUCAAACAGGAUCUCAGAGAAUGAACGAGGAUUUUUGCGGCCCUUUGUCAGAUAAGUGGGAAAUUGAUUACGUGAGGAUGUUCUGCGGGGGUUAAUUCUCAAAUGCUAGAGACAAGGGGGAAGCAUGAGUGAGGUCAGGAGGAUCAGGUAAAGGCAGGGUGCUCUCUCUCUCUCUCUCUCUCUCUCUCUCUCUCUCUCUCUCUCUCUCUCUGUCUAAAUUAAACUGUGUGCUUCACGAGUCUGUCUCUCUUAAGGAUGAGGCAGGGGCAAGCCAAAAGUCCUUAAUUACGCGGGGCCCUAAUCUGAGGGGUUUGGGUUAGAGAGCUGGAUCAGGGCCUGACUUUUUCUCCAGUUGUCUGAAAGGAGACACACAGUAGCGGGGCAGGGAGGACAUUUGCUAGACCACUAAACUUCACAAAAAGCCUGCCUUGUGGCACAGGCCCCCAGUUCUAGCUACACCUCAUGCUGCUGCGGAGAGUUCCCGAGUUCAAGAUAUGCCCAGGCUACAGAGUAAGUUCAAGGCCACCCUAGGCAACUUAGUGAGACUGUCUCAAAAUAGAAAAUAAGAAGAGGGCUGGAAAGAUAGUUUAGUGUUAGAUCCCGUACCUAGCACAUGUGGAAUCUUUAAGUUCAAUAUUCAGUACUAGAAAAAAGAAAAUCACACGAGGUUAAGGGUCAGGGACUGCAAUAGCCUGUAAGUGACUGCAUCAGGAUGGUAUAUCAGAGUCAUGGUUUUUCCUGUCACCUGCCAGGCACCUUGUAAACAUGUUUACACCCAGUCUCCUGAACCCUUUCCAGCUCGUCACAGCUCACAGUUUGUUUGUUUGUUUGUUUAUGUAUUUAUUUUUGCCUGGCAAUAAUUAUUUUAAUUUUUUUGCUUUAUUCUUAAGAUGACAAAUAAGUUUCAAGUUUAUUUCCUUUUUUGUUUGCUAUUUAAAUACAAAGUUACACCACAAAUAGGUACAACCAAGACAUUUUUAUCUCACAGUUACACCCUCCUGUCGGAUCCUCCUCCAAGCCUGACCACUGACUGGGCUAGCAGAGGGUUCGGGGGAGACUUUCUUAGGUAGCACCAUCAUGAGCCUGGGAGAUGGGGGUGUUGGGAACAAGGGUAGGGUCUUAUACCUGGCUCCUGAACCCCAGGCCCCUGGACUGAAGGUGAAUGGUGAGUCCUUCCCAGGGAGGGAGAAGGAAGCCACCUACUCUUGCUCUCACAGGUCAAAACCGAAGCAUCAUCCUGGUUCUCUGCCGGCUGCCAGGUACCCUAGUGCCAAACACAUCUGGUGCCUGAUGCUCGCAGGGGUCCUAGACUGACAGCUGACAGCAUCUUCAUGGGAGACCAGGAGUUCUGCCUUGACAGCAGGGUCCUGUCCAUUAUAGUAUUGGAUCAUUGCUACGAACUGAGAGUUUAAACAACGCUGAUUGGAUGUACCUGUGUGGGGCAGCGGACAGUGCCACUAAAUAGAAGAACUGGUUCCAAGUGGGCAUCUGGGUGUCCAGGAGAAUAGGGGCCCCUGUUCUCAACUCUUCUCGAUUCUCAGUGGUGUCUGGGUGCCUUGGAGUUUGAGAACCACAGCCUCUGUCCCAGCCCCUGCUGUCUCUCACCUGGAGAAACAUGGACUGGGACCCCUAUCUUAGACUGAGUUUCACCUCCCCUGAACAGUGUGUUGGUGUCCCACAAGCCUGACACCCCAGCAUUGAAGAAGGAAUGCAGACCUCCAUUCCUGAGGCGGCAGAGAAUGUGACUAAGGUCACCAUGAGACUUAACAGGCAAUUCUCUCAUUCCUAUACCAGACAUCAGAAGUCGCUCUUUAACUGGUAAGAAGGACACAUGCUCCACUAUGUUCAUA